CAGGAUCGCGCAUUAGCGGACGCUGGCUACGGGUGGCCGGGCGGGAUGUAACCGGCUGCUGAGCUGGCAGUUCUGUGUCCCCAGGCUUCGGCCCGGCCGCCGCCGCACAUAAACUGCGAGGAGGAGCUUUACGACUUCUCGGUCUUCGGGGCCGGGCGCAGCAAGGGCCAGACUCUGCGCUAGCAGGCGCUGCGCGCCAACCGGCCGGCCCCUGUCGCAGAAGGUGCAACCGAUCGCACUGUCGCGCAGAAGCUCCUCAAUGGCCAGCGCCAGCUGCAGCCCCGGCUGCCCACUCGCCUCACCUGAGCCUGGGUGGAACAAUCCAAAGUUUUAAUCAAAGAAGGUGGUAUUCAGUUGCUGCUUACAAUAGUUGAUACCCCAGGAUUUGGAGAUGCAGUGGAUAAUAGUAAUUGCUGGCAGCCUGUUAUCAAUUACAUUGAUAGUAAAUUUGAGGACUACCUAAAUGCAGAAUCGCAAGUGAACAGAUGUCAGAUGCCUGGUAACAGGGUGCACUGUUGUUUAUACUUCAUUGCUCCUUCAGGACAUGGACCGUUACAUAACUGAAGACUCCCACCUUCAGGCAGGAUUGGGUAGUACAUGUUUGUAACUACCUGGCAUUGCCUUUUGUUGAGACUUAAACCAUUGGAUAUUGAGUUUACAAAGCAUUUGCAUGAAAAAGUGAAUAUCAUCCCACUUAUUGCCAAAGCAGACACACUCAUGCCAGAGGAAUGCCAACAGUUUAAAAAACAGAUAAAGAAAUCCAAGAACAUAAAGUUAAAAUAUAUGAAUUUCCAGAAACAGAUGAUGAAGAAGAAAAAAAACUUGUUAAAAAGAUAAAGGACCAUUUACCUCUUGCUGUGGUGGGUAGUAAUACUAUCAUUGAAGUUAAUGGCAAAAGGGUCAUAGGAAGGCAGUAUCCUUGGAGUGUUGCUGAAGUUGAAAAUGGUGAACAUUGUGAUUUUACAGUUUUAAGAAAUAUGUUGAUAAGAACACACGCAGGACUUGAAAGAUGUUACUAAUAAUGUCCACUACGAGAACUAUGGAAUCAGAAAACUGGCAGCUGUGACUUAUCAUGGAGUUGAUAACAAGAAGAAUAAAGGGCAGCUCACUAAUAGAGACGGUAUUUCACCAUGUUAGCCAGGAUGGUCUUGAUCUCCUGACCUCGUGAUCCACCCGCCUCGGCCUCCCAAAGUGCUGGGAUUACAGGCAUGAGCCACCACGCCCGGCCAAGUGGAAUGAAUUUUCAAGAGCAUUGAAGUUACCAUAAGGGGCCUAGAAAUACUCUGUAUACCUAUAUAGUGCUCUAGGAGCCCUCUGGCACAAAUGGAAGAAGAAAGAAGGGAGCAAGUAGCUAAAAUUAAGAAGAUGGAGAUGGAGAUGGAGCAGGUGUUUGAGAUGAAGGUCAAAGAAAAAGUUCAAAAACUGAAGGACUCUGAAGCUGAGCACACACAUGCCCUCUUGGUUCUGUUUCUUUGAAGAACCCCAGGAAAACACACAAAGGAAAAACAACUCGAUAGACAGAAGAUUCUUCAAUGACAACAAUGGAAGCCAUCUUCACCAUUCAACUAAACUUGAAUGGGAUAUUAUCAAACUUAAAAAAAAAUUAUCAACUGAUCGUGUAAUCAGUUUCAUCUUUUAAGACAGGAAAUGAAAUAAAGUAUUUACAGAUGAAUGUAAAA
rnacentral:lncRNA from 1 species